GACUGUCAAAUCCAACAUGGCCAGAAAGGGACAAGUUUCGAAGCUCUUCAUUCUGGAAUUGCAGAGGAGAAAUGUCUGAGAGGCCAGGAACAGUGCUACCUUCUCCUUCCUGUCCUCCCUGUCGUGUACGGAAAGAGAUCUCUCCGUGCCUGAACAUUUCUCAGCUUCCUCUCAACUGAGGAUGGUGGCAACUCCAAAGCCACGUUGUCUCUAUAAAACCAGUCUCUCUUCCAGAACAGACCACCUCUCAGGGGCAUCGCUUGCUGUUUUAAGUGUAUUGGUCCCAGGAAACAAGAACUUCUAAAAGUGGCUAUUUCAGACAAGAAGUAAGUGACAAAAACUCCAAACACUUUGAUGGUUUCCAUCACUCAUUCAAAACUUUUGAUUUUUAACUCAGAGUUAAAUACUCUUCCAAAUGCAAAAGGAGCUUUGUUUGAGAAGAACAAAGAGGAGAAUAUACAUGAGUUCCAACUAAAGGCAAUGCUGUAACAACCAUAAUGGAACAUAUUUAAAUCUUUUCAGCACCAACUGACUCUGUCUCCUCAACUUACUGAAGAGGCUCAGAGAAGCUUCUUCCUGUCCUCCUCACAUAGGCUGUGCACCCACAGGAUCUCUCUGAACAUGCUCACAGAGACUGGGGAAGGCAACUAGCAGAUGUUUAGAAGGCUGGGUGACUUCACUGCUUCCACACUUUGAGUGCAUCUCAUGGACAUUAAAGGUCAUCUGUGAAUGCCUUCUUUCCUGGGAAACAGAGCUUACCCAGGGUCCUUAGAUCACAAUACCCUGGUUAUGGUUUACAAUUCCAGAAAGGAGAUACUGAAAGCCUUCUCCUUGAAGCUGCAUGAUGGCUGCGAUCAUCAGGCUCAGGGAAAUCAUCACAGAAGCUACCACUUCUGCUCCCUCAAAGCCCUGAACAGCCUCUGACAGGCAUGAAAGAAGACCAGGCAAGGAAAGCCACCACUCCACAUUCCCUCUCCUCUCCAUCACAGCGAUUCUUUUCAUUCCUGAGGCAUUCCAGGAGAAGCUGCUGAUUAAAGCUCUUGGAUUAAAUAAGAAAUUAAAAUCACAAAGGGAAGAGCAGAAUGAACAAAGAAAGGAGAGAGAAUACUGGUUUCUAGCCUGAAGAAAAUCUCCCUUGAAAUAGGAAGCUCAUUUACAAAGCUGAAGGAAAAAAAUCGCAGAAUAAAAUUUCUGUCUGCAAAAUCAGCAAUUCAGCAGCAUCAACAUCCUCCCUGACUGAAAACCAUUCUGGGUUCCCCAUCUUCUCUUUUGCUUCUAUUUUAAUCCAGGCAAGACUCUUGAAAUUAACAAACUGGAUGUGCCACAAGAUUCUACUCUCCACACUCAAGUAACAUUCCUUUCCUUUUACAAUUGAACUGCUUCAGUAUUUGAUGAGGUUAGGCAGCCUGCAGCACCUGAUCCUUAUCAGCAGGCCGAAGCAGGACAGCAUGUUACCAAGGUGAUAUUUCUAGUUACUUUAAAACAAAUUAAAAUUAUGUUUCGAUUUGAAAGCAAGAUAAUUUUUACCUUUAAAGUCAGAAUUACAAUGUAAGUUUA